AUUGAACGCUGGCGGCAGGCCUAACACAUGCAAGUCGAACGAGUGGCGGACGGGUGAGUAAUGUCUGGGAAACUGCCUGAUGGAGGGGGAUAACUACUGGAAACGGUAGCUAAUACCGCAUACCAUCGGAUGUGCCCAGAUGGGAUUAGCUAGUAGGUGGGGUAAAGGCUCACCUAGGCGACGAUCCCUAGCUGGUCUGAGAGGAUGACAAGCCACACUGGAACGGAGAACCGGUCCAGACUCCUACGGGAGGCAGCAGGGGGGAAUAUUGAACAAUGGGCGCAAGCCGGAUGCAGCCAGGCCGCGUGUAGGAAGAAGGCCUUCGGGUUGUAAAGUACUUUCAGCGGGGAGGCGUUACCCGCAGAAGAAGCACCGGCUAACUCCGUGCCAGCAGCCGCGGUAAAC
rnacentral:rRNA from 1 species